rfam:Lactobacillus algidus DSM 15638 Scaffold2, whole genome shotgun sequence.
GGGGAUGUUCAGGAUUCGACAGGUAUAGGUUGAGCUUGGAUUGCGUUUCGAAGUUUGCGUCUUCGUUAAAACGCUCAGUUAAAUUAUAACUGCAAAAAAUAAUAGUAAUACUUACGCUUUAGCUGCUUAAUAGCGCUUUAACGUAGAUCCUCCUAGUAUCGUCCAUGUGCUAGAUCUGGGUCCUAAAUUAAGUGGACUUACGUUGACUUCUUCCACCUGGAGAAGUUAAAAGAGACUAAUCAGGUUAGUCAGACGUGUUAGCCCUGUUAUACGGCGCUACGGCUGGUGAAAUUUAAAUAGUAUAACUAUGAACGUAGAUGUUUGAGUGGCAAUAUGCUUGGACGCGGGUUCGACUCCCGCCAUCUCCAUUU